rnacentral:tRNA from 1 species
CCCAUUAUGGCUCAGUGGUAGAGAAUCUGUCUGCGAUGCAGGAGACCUGGGUUCGAUCCCUGGGUCGGGA